GGAGCCAGAGAGCAGCGAUUAUCAGACCAUAGAUGGUCGGCACACCUGGUAGUAGCUCUGGCUGCUGUUGAUCUUGUUUUUGGAGUAAAACACGGUGGAAGCUGAAUUAGUGAGGAUGACUCCUGCUCCUGUCAUCUCUAAGCUCCUCACACAUCUUUACCUGCACAUGAGGAAAAUCACUCCUGUAGAAUGCAGAUGUUCAGAGGGAGAUGAUGCCACAUCUGGUCCAGCAGAUGGAAGGUCUUGAAGUUCUCUGACUGGCCUCGACUGAAGAUGGUCGUCUCACUGGAUUUAAGGUUCAGAUGCUCAGUAACAAACUCCACCAAUGAGCCAACAGGGAAGCUUUAGGUUUAUUAAAUGUUGCUAUGAAGGUAUCACUGUUUUUCUUUGUGAAUGCAAUGUGCUCCAACUGAAACUUGAAUUAGAACUUAGAAGUAAAUCCUUCCAUCUGAAAGGAUUUAGUUGCAUUAAUAACCUCAUAACAUUCUAAUUUUUAUUCCAGUCUUGGUUGGAAAUAGAAUCUCUGUAUUGAUUCAGUUAAAAACUGAACUUCACAGCACGUUGAAGCAAAACAACCAGAUGAAAACUGUGAUGGUGUUGGAUUGUCAGACCGUAAUGUUGCAGCUCAGAGCAGCUUUUCUAUCUCAGUUCAUUCUGACAUUCAGCUAUGAAUCAACACAGCAGAUGGUGAUCCAUGCUGUGGAAGUCUCACAUCUCCUGAUUUAAUGGAGCUGCUUUGCACUUUUUACACUGUUUAUUCACCAACACUUUAUUUAAUCAAAGUCCCUUCUAGUUUUUAUGAGGAAUGUGAUGUUUUAAUGUCUCUGUGAAUAACUACAGUCUAAUGCAACAGCUGGAGUUGUAACAUCUGUCCUGAUAUUGAUCAUGAAGUAUUGAGCAGAAUACUUAUGGUUAGCAGUCAUCCCUGAAGUUUUACAGUAAAAUCUUUACUUGUGUUGUGAACUUUGGUAAGAAGCAGAAACGUUAGCGUUGCCAUGGAUACAUGAGUGUUAAAUUCAGUCCAUGUUUCCAUUUUGGGAAAUUCAGUCCAGUUCCAGAAUGUGGAGGAAUUUAGUCUCACAAUCACAGACAACAAAUAUUAUCUGAAAGUCGGGUUAUUGUUGUUUAUCAGCACAAUACAAAAAGAUUAAUGUUAGAAAUAUUCUAGUUAAGACUCUAGAAUAUCAUGAUUUCUGUAAAUUUACCUCAAUAAUAUGAAUGUUCAGGUUAAGAUUGUACAGUGAUAUUUAUUAUGUAAGUUUAGCUGAUUAAAGUUUAUG
ensembl:lncRNA